UUAAAUUACGUAGUGGUUUGAAUAUUACGGACUAUUUAUAUGCGGACAUUUAAAUAUAUUGUAUUACAAAUACCAUAUACGGGCAAGUUAGAAGACACCGUUUUGUGAUGAGUCAUAUGGAACCAAGAAUUAAAAGGAAUACGGAAGCUAAUUCUACUUGGGAGCGUUAAAGUAAUCUUUAUAUUUAAUUGACGAGCAGAAAUUGAUUUAUACAGAACCUUCAGCGAUUUAUUGGACGAUACGAUGUUUAUUUUCUGUGAAAUAAUCUGACUUAUAAAAUCAAGAAGCUGUUAUUUUAAAACGUGCAUACAUCACAAAUAAUCAGUUUUAAAAUAGCAUUACAUUACAGAAAACAAUUCAUACAUCAUUUCAUUUGUGUUAAUAGACGAAGCUGUUCACAGAAUAUGACUGAAAGACAAGCACACAAAAAUAAUUUUAAAAAAAACAACAACGAAGCGAGAAGGGGACUCGAAAUUCAAAGUAAACCUGAAAACAAGUCAAUGUUACACCACGACCUCCCAAGAACGGGUCUCUCGGCGUCCAUCAUGGAGUCGCGACUGCUGACGGAGUACCGGAACCACUACAGCUACCUUUUGUGGCGGCGCACUGAGCUGGAGCGGUACAUGGAGCGGACGCUGCGGGACAUCAUUGAAACGUUCAGGGCCGCCGGGGUCAAAGCGGUCAUUGACUGGAUUUUGUGAACGCCCAAAUCAUGAUAGUUGUUGCAUGCGACUGCGAACAGGCACAACAGAGGCGUCAUUGAGACAUCACCGAAGACUCCCGAGCAAGAUCCAAUGACGUGUGUGGUGUAAAAUUACGGACGAUUUAGGGCCCGUAUGCAUCAACCUAACAAAGACGUUUGAAUAAAGAAACUUUUGAAACUGUUCUAAUUCAGAGACCACUGUAAGUCUGAAGCAUUGAUAGUUUCCACCCACUCAAGUGGCAUCAUUUAUUAUCUGAUGCGUUUUAAUGUGACUCUUUCGGUAUAGCACCGAAACUUCAUUAUGAAUUCGUAACCUACCGGUUUGAAUUUGAAACGACUCGGUAUGAAUUCGAAACUACCGGUAUGAAUUCGAAACUACCGUUAUGAAUUCGAAACUGCCGUUAUGAAGAGCAAACGAAUGGUCAUUUGCGCCAGAAGAGUCUGGAAUCUUAAUGCUCUACAAACUCUGAAGCCACACCUACUUGAUAUAGAGAGACAGUGUCCUUGGGUCUACUGUGAGCACAGCGGAGCUAAACACGAAUCUCGAACUGUUUUUUUUGGUUAUCUCACAGUUCUUGUAAGUGUUUGUUUUUGACAAAUGUCCUCAGUAUUGGCAUAAUUCUUAACUAAUAUUUAUCACAAAAACAUGUAAAUAAAAAUGGCUUCGUGAUGACACGGACCCGGACUCUAGGGUCUAAUGCUAUCAGGCUGAACAGCUGUAUGUACAAUUUUAUGGUGAUAGUUGUUUUAUUUACAUUAUGAAGUUGAAAUGUCUAUAAAUGUAUUCAAUAAUUUGUUUUUUUUUGUAAAUACUAACAGGAUAUUUAUUUAUUUGUAUUUAUUUUAUGGCAAAUGUGUUAUUUCUUCAUAUUUGCAGAGAGCAAUGCAACCUAAUAAUGCAAUGCCCCAUGUGUUACGUUUGUGACGUUUUAAGAUUUGAAAUUUUACAUAAAAUUGUGGAUAUGUUAAAUAACAAAGCAUGUUGCUGGAAAAUGUUGUUAAUUUUUUUUAAUUCAAUGACCGAUUGGUAAUGUCACUAUGAAUGUCUGUGUAUAUUUAUUAUAUAUUUAUUGUUUAAUAUUUGUUAUUGCAUUUGCUUUUAAAAAAUGAAUGGAUACAAAAAUUC